GACGCAAGUUUGAAUUUGCCGCGUGCGGCCGCGAACCAACCGUCGGCUUGAGGCCCGGGCAAAGAUGGCGGCGUGGGCGAGGCCCGGGCAAAGAUGAAGCCUUGUCAUCUGUGCUCCCACAAAUAGCACCUGUCAGUCCCUGGGCCGCCAACACUGGUUACACCUCCUGUUCCGCCUGGUUUCAGAAGAAAUCUCUAAUCUCCUGGAAGGCCAAAGAGCACAAGAGAAGC